rnacentral:tRNA from 1 species
GGAGAGGUACCGAAGUGGUCAUAACGGGCCGCUCUCGAAAAGCGGUUGGGCCGUAAGGCUCACGUGAGUUCGAAUCUCACCCUCUCCG